GACGGAGGGGGCUAGCGUUAAUCGGAAUUACUGGGCGUAAAGCGUGCGCAGGCGGUUCGUUAAGUCAGAUGUGAAAUCCCCGGGCUCAACCUGGGAACUGCAUUCGUGACUGCAAGGCUAGAGUGUGUCAGAGGGAGGUGGAAUUCCGCGUGUAGCAGUGAAAUGCGUAGAGAUGCGGAGGAACACCGAUGGCGAAGGCAGCCUCCUGGGAUAACACUGACGCUCAUGCACGAAAGCGUGGGGAGCAAACAGG
rnacentral:rRNA from 1 species